GACAAACGCUGGCGGCGUGCCUAAUACAUGCAAGUAGAACGCUGAAGAGAGGAGCUUACUCUUCUUGGAUGAGUUGCGAACGGGUGAGUAACGCGUAGGUAACCUGCCUUGUAGCGGGGGAUAACUAUUGGAAACGAUAGCUAAUACCGCAUAACAAUGGAUGACACAUGUCAUUUAUUUGAAAGGGGCAAUUGCUCCACUACAAGAUGGACCUGCGUUGUAUUAGCUAGUAGGUGAGGUAAUGGCUCACCUAGGCGACGAUACAUAGCCGACCUGAGAGGGUGAUCGGCCACACUGGGACUGAGACACGGCCCAGACUCCUACGGGAGGCAGCAGUAGGGAAUCUUCGGCAAUGGGGGCAACCCUGACCGAGCAACGCCGCGUGAGUGAAGAAGGUUUUCGGAUCGUAAAGCUCUGUUGUAAGUCAAGAACGGGUGUGAGAGUGGAAAGUUCACACUGUGACGGUAGCUUACCAGAAAGGGACGGCUAACUACGUG
rnacentral:rRNA from 1 species